rnacentral:rRNA from 1 species
UUAAGCGACUAAGCGUACACGGUGGAUGCCCUGGCAGUCAGAGGCGAUGAAGGACGUGUUCCGAAUGGGGAAACCCAGUGUGWUUCGWCACACUAUCAUUAACUGAAUCCAUAGGUUAAUGAGGCGAACCGGGGGAACUGAAACAUCUAAGUACCCCGAGGAAAAGAAAUCAACCGAGAUUCCCCCAGUAGCGGCGAGCGAACGGGGAGCAGCCCAGAGCCUGAAUCAGUGUGUGUGUUAGUGGAAGCGUCUGGAAAGGCGCGCGAUACAGGGUGACAGCCCCGUACACAAAAAUGCACAUGCUGUGAGCUCGAUGAGUAGGGCGGGACACGUGGUAUCCUGUCUGAAUAUGGGGGGACCAUCCUCCAAGGCUAAAUACUCCUGACUGACCGAUAGUGAACCAGUACCGUGAGGGAAAGGCGAAAAGAACCCCGGCGAGGGGAGUGAAAAAGAACCUGAAACCGUGUACGUACAAGCAGUGGGAGCACGCUUMGGCGUGUGACUGCGUACCUUUUGUAUAAUGGGUCAGCGACUUAUAUUCUGUAGCAAGGUUAACCGAAUAGGGGAGCCGAAGGGAAACCGAGUCUUAACUGGGCGUUAAGUUGCAGGGUAUAGACCCGAAACCCGGUGAUCUAGCCAUGGGCAGGUUGAAGGUUGGGUAACACUAACUGGAGGACCGAACCGACUAAUGUUGAAAAAUUAGCGGAUGACUUGUGGCUGGGGGUGAAAGGCCAAUCAAACCGGGAGAUAGCUGGUUCUCCCCGAAAGCUAUUUAGGUAGCGCCUCGUGAAUUCAUCUCCGGGGGUAGAGCACUGUUUCGGCAAGGGGGUCAUCCCGACUUACCAACCCGAUGCAAACUGCGAAUACCGGAGAAUGUUAUCACGGGAGACACACGGCGGGUGCUAACGUCCGUCGUGAAGAGGGAAACAACCCAGACCGCCAGCUAAGGUCCCAAAGUCAUGGUUAAGUGGGAAACGAUGUGGGAAGGCCCAGACAGCCAGGAUGUUGGCUUAGAAGCAGCCAUCAUUUAAAGAAAGCGUAAUAGCUCACUGGUCGAGUCGGCCUGCGCGGAAGAUGUAACGGGGCUAAACCAUGCACCGAAGCUGCGGCAGCGACGCUGAUGCGUUGUUGGGUAGGGGAGCGUUCUGUAAGCCUGUGAAGGUGUGCUGUGAGGCAUGCUGGAGGUAUCAGAAGUGCGAAUGCUGACAUAAGUAACGAUAAAGCGGGUGAAAAGCCCGCUCGCCGGAAGACCAAGGGUUCCUGUCCAACGUUAAUCGGGGCAGGGUGAGUCGACCCCUAAGGCGAGGCCGAAAGGCGUAGUCGAUGGGAAACAGGUUAAUAUUCCUGUACUUGGUGUUACUGCGAAGGGGGGACGGAGAAGGCUAUGUUGGCCGGGCGACGGUUGUCCCGGUUUAAGCGUGUAGGCUGGUUUUCCAGGCAAAUCCGGAAAAUCAAGGCUGAGGCGUGAUGACGAGGCACUACGGUGCUGAAGCAACAAAUGCCCUGCUUCCAGGAAAAGCCUCUAAGCAUCAGGUAACAUCAAAUCGUACCCCAAACCGACACAGGUGGUCAGGUAGAGAAUACCAAGGCGCUUGAGAGAACUCGGGUGAAGGAACUAGGCAAAAUGGUGCCGUAACUUCGGGAGAAGGCACGCUGAUAUGUAKGUGARGUCCCUCGCGGAUGGAGCUGAAAUCAGUCGAAGAUACCAGCUGGCUGCAACUGUUUAUUAAAAACACAGCACUGUGCAAACACGAAAGUGGACGUAUACGGUGUGACGCCUGCCCGGUGCCGGAAGGUUAAUUGAUGGGGUCAGCGCAAGCGAAGCUCUUGAUCGAAGCCCCGGUAAACGGCGGCCGUAACUAUAACGGUCCUAAGGUAGCGAAAUUCCUUGUCGGGUAAGUUCCGACCUGCACGAAUGGCGUAAUGAUGGCCAGGCUGUCUCCACCCGAGACUCAGUGAAAUUGAACUCGCUGUGAAGAUGCAGUGUACCCGCGGCAAGACGGAAAGACCCCGUGAACCUUUACUAUAGCUUGACACUGAACAUUGAGCCUUGAUGUGUAGGAUAGGUGGGAGGCUUUGAAGUGUGGACGCCAGUCUGCAUGGAGCCGACCUUGAAAUACCACCCUUUAAUGUUUGAUGUUCUAACGUUGACCCGUAAUCCGGGUUGCGGACAGUGUCUGGUGGGUAGUUUGACUGGGGCGGUCUCCUCCUAAAGAGUAACGGAGGAGCACGAAGGUUGGCUAAUCCUGGUCGGACAUCAGGAGGUUAGUGCAAUGGCAUAAGCCAGCUUGACUGCGAGCGUGACGGCGCGAGCAGGUGCGAAAGCAGGUCAUAGUGAUCCGGUGGUUCUGAAUGGAAGGGCCAUCGCUCAACGGAUAAAAGGUACUCCGGGGAUAACAGGCUGAUACCGCCCAAGAGUUCAUAUCGACGGCGGUGUUUGGCACCUCGAUGUCGGCUCAUCACAUCCUGGGGCUGAAGUAGGUCCCAAGGGUAUGGCUGUUCGCCAUUUAAAGUGGUACGCGAGCUGGGUUUAGAACGUCGUGAGACAGUUCGGUCCCUAUCUGCCGUGGGCGCUGGAGAACUGAGGGGGGCUGCUCCUAGUACGAGAGGACCGGAGUGGACGCAUCACUGGUGUUCGGGUUGUCAUGCCAAUGGCACUGCCCGGUAGCUAAAUGCGGAAGAGAUAAGUGCUGAAAGCAUCUAAGCACGAAACUUGCCCCGAGAUGAGUUCUCCCUGACNNNNGUGGACGCAUCACUGGUGUUCGGGUUGUCAUGCCAAUGGCACUGCCCGGUAGCUAAAUGCGGAAGAGAUAAGUGCUGAAAGCAUCUAAGCACGAAACUU